GAUGAACGCUGGCGGCGUGCCUAAUACAUGCAAGUCGAGCGAACGGACGAGAAGCUUGCUUCUCUGAUGUUAGCGGCGGACGGGUGAGUAACACGUGGAUAACCUACCUAUAAGACUGGGAUAACUUCGGGAAACCGGAGCUAAUACCGGAUGAUAUUUUGAACCGCAUGGUUCAAAAGUGAAAGACGGUCUUGCUGUCACUUAUAGAUGGAUCCGCGCUGCAUUAGCUAGUUGGUAAGGUAACGGCUUACCAAGGCAACGAUGCAUAGCCGACCUGAGAGGGUGAUCGGCCACACUGGAACUGAGACACGGUCCAGACUCCUACGGGAGGCAGCAGUAGGGAAUCUUCCGCAAUGGGCGAAAGCCUGACGGAGCAACGCCGCGUGAGUGAUGAAGGUCUUCGGAUCGUAAAACUCUGUUAUUAGGGAAGAACAUAUGUGUAAGUAACUGUGCACAUCUUGACGGUACCUAAUCAGAAAGCCACGGCCAACUACGUG
rnacentral:rRNA from 1 species